rnacentral:lncRNA from 1 species
AGAGAAACCAAAUCCAAAUUAGACCAAAGGCUUGAUCAAGUCAUCAUUAAAAUCAAUCAUCCAUUUUGGUGGAUUAGGGUUUUCACCUAAUCAACACCCAAGAUCCAUUGAGUUUGAUGAGACCAAUGAUCAAAUCAACUAAGAUCCAAGGCCAACAGAAGUCAACAAAUGUCAAACAAGCAUAAAAUGCAAGAAAAUAAAAUAAAAUGCAUCAAAAAC